rnacentral:lncRNA from 1 species
CAAGAACAAAUGGAUGAAACUGUGAGAGUGGAGACUACUUUAGCAAAGCCUGGGGAGGGGUCUGAACACUGAGUCUGCAGUACAUGAACUACUGAGUGCUCUGUGAACUCCUCCAAGAGGCAGGGAUUCAAAGGGAGCAAAGCAAAGCAUUUCCCACCUUGUCUAAACCUUUUGUGAGAUGAAGGGAAAGCAGCUAGAAAUGAAGAGCUGGAGCGGGGUGAGCAUUCCUGGAAAUGCCACAACCACUUAGGAUGACAAGCUCAAGCCUUGGACAUCAUCCCUGUGCUGGGAGAUGUGGUCAGGACACCAACACCUGUGUGAGAAAGAGCCUGGCAUUUGGAGCACAGCGAGUAAAUAACCUCAAAUCAAGUUUCCUCAGAGAAUUUUGAUGGAUACACCUUGUUUUUCAUGCUGUGUGCAGUGGCAUAGAAAAGCCUAUGAGCAAGUAUUGAACCAGUACUUGAAAUUAUCUGAGAAAAGUUAUUUGGGAUUCUGAGCCGUGGCUGCAGCUCCUGAC